GCCAGCGAGGAGGAAUGCGCACUCUGAGGGCUGCUGGCAGUGGCAGCCAUUUUGGGGCUCCAGUGUGGCUUUGGUGCCAUGAGGUGUUGAGCAGAGGUAGCUUGGUCACCAGCGUGGCUAUUCACAUCUUGCAGGAUUUAGUCAAAUUAUAGAAGUUAUAAAGGUGUUAUAUGUACCAACAAUUCUACACAUGCAGUCAUGAGACAAUGAUCACUGUCUUCCUACUUUUCCCGGAAACCUCAUCUAAAGGACACAAUGAGAAGCGUAGCUCACAGCCAGGAUGCCUUUGACUUCCUCAGCCACCACUUCAUAUCAGAAAAUCUUAAGAAUCAGGAACCAUCUGUCAUGUCCCCACCAUCACUGUACUGAGGAAGGCAGAUGCUGAAGAUCACUUCAGUGCAGCAAGGCCAUCCUUUUAAUGCAUCACCAAGCGCAUACACUGUGUGCACUGCCCCAGAGGCACACUGCCUUAGGCCAUGUUCCUGAGCAGCUCCAGUGCCACCUGUCUGAAGCAGCCCCCAGCUUCAGCCUCCUGCUGCUAAAUAGAACAGAGGGAACCUCCUUCCCCAGACUUCUCUUGGCCAGCCACAGUUCAGCUUUUGACACGCAGAUGCUACCCAAGUUCAGUGCUACUCCAGCAAGUAAGGGAAACAAAUGCAUGAUUUGGAAAGAGAAAGAUUGUUUGAAGAUUAAACUCUGAUUUCAUUGUGGUUCUUCCAAUGAAUACUGGUUUUAUUACUCUCAUUAAUUAGAAGUCUGUCGGCACCAACAUAACUCAUAAAUGAGCAACAUUUCUUUUCAAAUUAGUUUUCCUUGUUACAAUUUUUCUAACAUGUAUUUAUCUUUCAAAGAGACUAAAGCUAGACAUCCAUUAUGACUACAAAAAUCCCUUCAAGGACUAAUAUUUUACUUCUUUUU